UACGGAGGAUGCGAGCGUUAUCCGGAUUUAUUGGGUUUAAAGGGUGCGUAGGCGGAUCGUUAAGUCAGUGGUCAAAUUGAGGGGCUCAACCCCUUCCCGCCAUUGAAACUGGCGAUCUUGAGUGGAAGAGAAGUAUGCGGAAUGCGUGGUGUAGCGGUGAAAUGCAUAGAUAUCACGCAGAACCCCGAUUGCGAAGGCAGCUUGCCGGCUUCCUACUGACGCUGAAGCACGAAAGCGUGGGGAUCGAACAGG
rnacentral:rRNA from 1 species